GAUGAAGAACGUAGUGAAAUGCGAUAAUUAAUGUGAAUUGCAGAAUUCAGUGAAUCAUCGAGUCUUUGAACGCACAUUGCGCCCCCUGGUAUUCCGGGGGGCAUGCCUGUCCGAGCGUCAUUGCUGCCCUCAAGCACGGCUUGUGUGUUGGGCUUCCGUCCCUGGCAACGGGGACGGGCCCAAAAGGCAGUGGCGGCACCAUGUCUGGUCCUCGAGCGUAUGGGGCUUUGUCACCCGCUCCCGUAGGUCCAGCUGGCAGCUAGCCUCGCAACCAAUCUUUUUAACCAGGUUGACCUCGGAUCAGGUAGGGAUACCCGCUGAACUUAAGCAUAUAAAUAAGCGGAGGA
rnacentral:misc_RNA from 1 species